CCUACGGGUGGCAGCAGUGAGGAAUAUUGGUCAAUGGGCGGAAGCCUGAACCCUCCCCGUCGCUUGCAUUCUUCCUUCCCUCCUUUUUUUCCCCUUCUUUUCUCCUUUCCUCCCGCGCCUUACGUGUAGGGCUUUGCAUGUACCGUAUGAAUAAGGACCGGCUAAUUCCGUGCCAGCAGCCUCGGUAAUAAGGAAGGUCCGGUGGUUAUCCGGAUUUAUUGGGUUUAAAGGGAGCGUAGGCCGCAUGUCAAGCGUGCUGUGAAAUGUCCGGGCUCAACCCGGGCCUGGAAGAGUGAAGUGGCGUGAUUGAGUCCGCGGAAAGCAGGCGGAAUUCGUCGUGUAGCGGUGAAAUGCUUAGAUAUGAAGAAGAACCCCGAUUGCGAAGGCAGCUUGCUGCAGCGGAAAUGAAGCUGAUGCUCGAAAGCGCGGGUAUAGAAAAGGAGUAGAGAGAAAGGGAGUC
rnacentral:rRNA from 1 species